rnacentral:rRNA from 1 species
ACUCCUACGGGAGGCAGCAGUGAGGAAUAUUGGUCAAUGGAGGGAACUCCGAACCAGCCAUCCCGCGUGUAGGAAGACGGCCUUAUGGGUUGUAAACUACUUUUAUACAGGAAGAAACGUACCCUCGUGAGGGUGCCUGACGGUACUGUAGGAAUAAGCACCGGCUAACUCCGUGCCAGCAGCCGCGGUAAUACGGAGGGUGCGAGCGUUACUCGGAAUCACUGGGCGUAAAGAGCGUGUAGGCGGAUAGAUAAGUCAGGAGUGAAAUCCUAUGGCUCAACCAUAGAACUGCUCUUGAAACUGUCAAUCUAGAAUGUGGGAGAGGUAGAUGGAAUUUCUGGUGUAGGGGUAAAAUCCGUAGAGAUCAGAAGGAAUACCGAUUGCGAAGGCGAUCUACUGGAACAUAAUUGACGCUGAGACGCGAAAGCGUGGGAGCAAACAGGAUUAGAUACCCUGGUAGACUGUCAU